AGCUGGGUUCCCUCCCUGUUGGUUGUUUGGACUGAGGCGGCCCAGCACUGGAGCCUAUGCUGCUCUUUGGUGGGGCUAAUGGUGGACUCCAGGAAGGCUCACACCAAGGAGUACUUCCCAGAACUUCUGCUCACAGUGUCCUCGUCCUCAUGGUGAGCCACAGCCACCCCCCGCCUGUGCAGGAGACCCUCCCACACUAGCAGUGGCACUAUGUUUUAUCUCGAGUGAGGAAGAGCCAUGGUAAUCAGUCUCACUGUGACUACUGUCACGGAUUCUACCCUGAGGCGCUGUGAAGCAAUAAAACUCUUGCAUUGGAAGCGGAUGCCUUUAUGGUUCUUGUGAAAGAUUUAAGGAACAGUUCAGAAUGGAAGACUAAGGACUUUGCACAUCGUGACCCUAAAAGAGGAGGAAAGAUUUUUCAGCUCAUCUCUGUUGGUGGGUGGACUACUUCUUUGAGUGGACUAUCUAUGCCAUCUAAGAAAAGGGAAAAAACCUACAGCUACUAUUUUGGCGUGCUGCCGGGUGCAAUUGCACUGUAAGUGAUACAGCCGUCACUUGGAGAGUGCUUUGGAACUUUAAAGGCAAGAGAAACCUUUUCUUCCGUGGAAUGUUCCUUUUAACUUGCUUUCUGUUCAACCUGAUAAAGCUUUGAAUAUGCUUGUUUGAGAGUUCCUUUCAUAAUUUGACUUUUCUUUUCCCACAUCGAACAAUGCAAAACUGAAUUGUCAAGCUUGUUUAUAAAGUGAGGUACCAUCUUGGAAAUCAUGGUGUGUUUUCAAAUCACCAUGUAAUAUUGAUAUUUUUAAUUACUGUCAACCAUAAACCCCUUUAUCAGCAUAAACAAUUGGCAGCAUAAACCAAAGAUGUAAGAAAAAAUUAGUUCUAUCCAUUAACUUAACGUUUGUUUAAUAUCAAGUUUGGUGGUCAGCUGGGACAUGAUUACCUGAUUUUAGUGACUGAACACCUUGGCCUAUAUAUAGGAUAUAAUCUCUAUACCCUGACACCAUGCAAAAGAAACUGAUACAUCCUGAGUGCCUAGCUCAGGUAUGAUAUAUGGUAUCUUUCAUGCUUUAACCUCAUAAUAUAGCCUAAGAUAUAUGGUUAUUAUAAUUUCUAUUAUAUAUGAAUACAUAUAUUUAUAUUACUUCAUAUAAUUUCUAUUACAUAUGUAGAAACUGAGGAUGAGAGAAGUAACUUGGCCAGAAUUAACCAAGUAGUAUGUGGCAUAGGUGAUAUAUGAACCAGGUCAAUCUGUCUGUAAGGCCCAGGUUUUUCUGCCUUAAUUCAGUCUAACUUGAUUUUAGCCUCCUCUGGUUGGAAUGAAAGUUGCUCCUCGGUUUCCUAGUUAGUUUCUUCAUAUUUCAUGCCUAUCAUGAAUAGCAAUUUGAAACAGCCUGAACUGCUUGAAGAAAGGCAAAGUUUAAACUGUCCAUGGUGUCACUGACUUGAGACCCAGAGACUGUUUUCUUCUCUAAACUUUCUUGAGAGCAUCUUCUGUUACAGAGAAACUUUAUUUGGGAUGGUAGAAAGAUGUGUUAGUCUUUUCCUGUAUUAUUUCUGACUUUGGUAAUAUGUUAAGAAAGACCUUUCUCACUGUAAAAUCUAAAAAUAUACUUCUGUGUUAUUAUUAUUAUUUAGUUUUUUAACUGUUUCUUAAAAAUCUAAAUCAUUGGUCUGUCCAGAAUUUAUUUUUGUAUGGUAUAUGGUAGGAACCUAACUUAAUUCUUAGGUCCUAUUUUCUCCUCAAAUUCUGGUCCUUUUUGCCUCUUUGUGUUCCUUAAAUUAUU